GCCUCCCGUCUCUUCUACCCGAACCCCCCCUCCCCCCCCCCAGCAGAGAGACCCCAGCAGCAGCAGCAGCUGAUGAUGAAGAGAGAGGCAGUGGCAGAGGGGGGGCACCUUUUAUUUCUAUUUUUAAAGGGACAGGACACUAAUUUUACCCCACUUCAACCUUGAAUUGAGGGGGGUGGGGGGAAGGCGGCUGAGUUCCUUCCCCCACCCUCCAGCCCUGAGACCUGAGAGGGGGAUUGAGCCUGAGAAAGAAGAAGGAGUUUCUUCUUCUUCGAAAACCCCCAUCCACGACUCCUACCCCCUCACCCCUCCACUAGCCUCCCUCCCGAGCCCCCUCCACCCUCCUCCUCUUUGGCCGUGAGAGGAGGAGAGAAAGAGACCAAAAGCCUCUUAGCAACACAGACCCUUUGCUGCUGCUGCUGCUGCUGCUGCUGCUGCUGCUGCUGCUACUGCUGCUGCUGCUUGGCCCUGGCUGGAGACAUCUCACUACACCCAGGAGCAGCCACUUCCCCAGCUCUCCUCCUCCUUCGCCUCCUCCUCCUCCACUCCCCCCCCUUUAUUACCCUUUGUGUCAUCCUCCACAGCUCCAGGGAAGGCACUCAAAAGUGGGGGGCAGGAAAGAUGCUUUUUGAGGAAAUCAGUUUCUGCAUGUGGAAAGUAGAUAUUGAAGGUUAUAUGGUUUACAGACAAGAUCUUUAAAAUAUAGAUACUCAAGGACCAAGGAAAUAAAUA